AUGGAUGGCAACAAGAUUGCCACCCGGCCAGCCAGCGUACGGGCGUUCGCCAUCGCCCGCGGCACCGUCGUCGUCUUCGCCUUGGCCACAGCGGCCGACUACGUGCUCGACCGCUACCACCUCUGCAGCAGCCAGAGCCAGGCUUCCUUCAUCCUGCCGUGCGUAAGGGUGACGGCCGCGGCGGCCGCCGAGUGGAGGGCCCUCUGGCUCGCCAUGGUCUGCUGCGCGGUGCUCGAGGCGGCCGUCGCGGCGCUGGCGCUGCGGCACCCAUGCCGCGCCCUGGCCCUCGCCUACCUCCAGCUCGCGCUCACCGUCGUCCGCCACUACAUGUACGCCCGCGCCGUCUGCAUCCUCCUCGCCGCCGACCCAGGAGACCACCUCCGCGGGCUCUGCAUCGGGAGCAUCUCCACCUUCUUGUUAGCGACUUCCCUUGCUCUCGCAUGGGAUCGACAAUGGGCCAUAACUACUGGGCUUGGGCUGCUCGGUAGCCAGGCAACACGGCAACUACAAAUACAAGGGAUAGAGUUACGAACAACUUGGCUAGGAACUGGACGGCUUCGGCCUCCUCUGCUUCUGUAUCUCCUCCCUCUCGUGUUCCUCUCCUCUGUAAUGGCUAGACCUUGGUGA
rnacentral:rRNA from 1 species